rnacentral:tRNA from 1 species
CGGGAUGUAGCGCAGCCUGGUAGCGUACCUGCUUCGGGAGUUGGGGGUCGGAGGUUCAAAUCCUCUCAUCCCGACCA